GUCCUUAAUUAAUUAUUUAAGGUCCGACCUGCUCAAUGCGUAAGUUAAUUGCUGCAGUAACUUGACUGUACUAAGGUAGCAUAAUAAUUAGUUUUUUAAUUGAAAGCUGGAAUGAAAGGUUAGACGGAAUUAAAACUGUCUUUUUUAUAGUUUAAUAAAUUAAUAAGUUGGUGAAAAAUCCCACUUGAUUAGGAGGGACGAGAAGACCCUUUAGAUCUUUAUUUAUAUUUUUCUUGAGAAGAUGAAUAUAAAUUUAUCUGGGACGGAUCUAAUAAUUUUUAUCUAUAGAUAAUAAAAAAAUCAUUAAUUAAAUUAAUGAUCCCUUAGAAUGGAUAUGAAGAAAAAGUUACCUAAGGGAUAACAGCAUAAUUCCCCCACAGAGAUCUUAUUUGUGGGGGAGAUUAUGACCUCGAUGUUGAAUUAAGUUAACUAUUGAAAGUAGAAAUUUAAUUAGUUAGUCUGCUCGACUAUUAAAAGCUU
rnacentral:rRNA from 2 species